UAUUGAGGAUACGGGAGCUCGGGUCAGCCGGGCUGAGAGGGUGGACAAUCCCCAGGGAGCUCCACCGACCGUUGGAACCUGAACCGGGUAAUGCUGGCGCAGGGAAUCAUACAGAUCUCUUU
rfam:Thermobaculum terrenum ATCC BAA-798 chromosome 1, complete sequence.